GGCCCUCGUGUCGACGUCUCUACUUGAAAAUUUUCCCUGUUUCUGUCGAAUCUUCGAAAAUUUCGAAAGAGAAAAUCAGUGGGAUAGAUCAGUUGGAGCAACGUCGAGGGAAAAAUUGUAAUCGAACAGAACCGUGACAGUGUUUCGUGGAAAUCUCGAGAAGACCUAUGUGUCGAUGAGGUGCAAAGUCUUGGACUGUCAAGGAAACUCCCCGACAUUCUUAGCCAGUGUUAGGCUCGCUAAAAACCUACGUACUCGCAAGGGGAGUCGACGAGGUAACACUGGCAAUCGUUUAGAAUUGCUAGUUCUGGUUCAUUUGCAUCACGUACCGUAGAGU